CUCCAUAAGUGACAGAUCAUGAUCUGCUUUGAUAAACACAGGAUGAAGUAUAAAAAGGAUCAGAUUUUAAAAGGUGGAGAUGUCAGACGUUUUCAGUUUUAGGAAGAGACAAAAUAUAGUUUAAUUAUUGACAUUAUCUUUAUUCUCCACAUGUGACAGAUCACGAUCUGCUUUCAGAAACACAGGAUGAAGUAUAAAAAUGAUCAGAUUUUAAAAGGUGGAGAUGUCAGACGUUUUCUGUUUUAGGAAUAGACAAAAAAAAAGAUUAAUUACUGACUUUACCUUUGUUUUCCAUAAGUGACAGAUCACGAUCUGCUUUCAUAAACAC
rnacentral:misc_RNA from 1 species